rnacentral:rRNA from 1 species
AACCGCGGUUAUACGAGUAGCCCGAGCUGAUAGGUACCGGCGUAAAGGGUGGUUAGGACGAAAACUAGAAUAAAGCCGAAUUCCUUCAAUGCUGUUAUAAGUUUCCGAAGGCUAGAAGCUCAACUACGAAAGUGGCUUUACAAAAUCUGAAACCACGAAAGCUGGGGUA